AUUAAAAGUAUUUUCUGCUCAGUGUUUAUAAAUAGCUGCGGUAAUUUGACCGUGCAAAGGUAGCAUAAUCAUUUGCUUCAUAAUUGGGGGCUAGUAUGAAUGGAAAUAUGAAAAUUUUUCUUUCUUUUUAUUUUUUUAAAAAAUUGUAGUUAAUGUGAAGAUACAUUAUUUUUAAUAAAAGACAAGAAGACCCUUUUGAGCUUUUAUUUAGUUGGGGCGAUUAAAGAAGACUUCUUUUUAUUUUGACCCAAAGUUUUUUGGUUUUUAGAAUUAGUUACCAAAGGGAUAACAGCGUAAUUUUUUUUAAGAGUUCUUAUUAAAAAAAAAGAUUGCGACCUCGAUGUUGACUUAUAAUUUCCUUUUGGUGCAGUAGCUUAUAGGGUUGGU
rnacentral:rRNA from 1 species